CAUCUGAAACGCAUUUAGAUUUUACCUUUGAUGAAUUGUAUGAUGCGUUUAAUGAACUAAUGGAUGAAUAUAAGAAUAAAGAACUAAAACUAACUAAUCAAUCUCACCUCCAUAAGUAUGAUAAAUUAAUUAAGGACAAGGAUUUUAUCAUUAAAGAAAAUUUAGAACUUAAAACAAGCAACCAAAUGUUAAUUCAAAAAACUAAUUUCUUAAUUAAAGAUAACGAAAAACUAACCAAGAAAAUUUCAGAACUUAAAAACGGUAAACAAACUUUAAAAGAUAAUCUCACAAAAGACUUAAACA
rnacentral:lncRNA from 1 species